UACAGAGGGUGCAAGCGUUGUUCGGAAUUAUUGGGCGUAAAGCGCGUGUAGGCGGCUUUGCAAGUCGGGUGUGAAAGCCCUCAGCUCAACUGAGGAAGUGCGCCCGAAACUGCAGAGCUUGAGUACCGGAGAGGAUGGCGGAAUUCCCCAAGUAGAGGUGAAAUUCGUAGAUAUGGGGAGGAACACCGGUGGCGAAGGCGGCCAUCUGGACGGAUACUGACGCUGAGAUGCGAAAGCGUGGGUAGCAAACAGG
rnacentral:rRNA from 1 species